rnacentral:ncRNA from 2 species
CGAGUACUCCGGGGUCGGUGCAAUUCCGAACCGGCGGUGAGAGUCCGCGACCCGUCCGCCAGACGCGGACGGCUGAUCCGGUGGGAAUCCGGAACCGACGGUGAGAGUCCGGAUGGGAGGAGUGCGGA